rnacentral:rRNA from 1 species
AUUGAACGCUGGCGGCAGGCCUAACACAUGCAAGUCGAACGAGUGGCGGACGGGUGAGUAAUAUCUGGGAAACUGCCUGAUGGAGGGGGAUAACUACUGGAAACGGUAGCUAAUACCGCAUACCAUCAGAGGUGCCGAUAUGGGAGUAGCUAGUUGGUGGGGUAACGGCUCACCAAGGCCACGAUCCCUAGCUGGUCUGAGAGGAUGACCAGCCACACUGGAAGUGAGACACGGGCCAGACUCGUACGGGAGGCAGCAGUGGGGAAUAGUGCACAAUGGGCGCAAGCCGGAUGCAGCUAUGCCGCGUGUAUGAUGAAGGCCUUCGGGUUGUAAAGUACUUUCGGCGGGGAGGCGUUACCCGCAGAAGAAGCACCGGCUAACUCCGUGCCAGCAGCCGCGGUAAUAC